UUAAUAUUUUUUUUUUUACUUUUCAUGUUCUCUUCAAUUCCCAUUUUUCGUGUCUGAAUUUCAUGGCUUUUGAAGGAAAGAUUAAUGAACUUUAGGUGAAACAAAUUAUUGUUGUAAUUCUACUUCUAUCGAUGCCUUCUUCGAGCAUUUUGCUUCCUUAUACCUUAGGCUUGAUUUAUUCGACAGAGUUAGAACAACCACCUUUAGAUCAGAUACUGUUUUGCUGAUUUUACCAAGAUUAAAGGAGGCUAUGUACCAUAAAAAUGGUUCUAUCUGAAUGGCUAUUCACUUUGUUAUUGGGUUUUUAAAGUUAUGGGAUCACUUGAAGUUACAAUUUUGGUGAACAGUAUGUCGAAGGCUGCAUAACCUAUCCCGCAAUCAACAUUACAGGUGGAAAAGAGAGAGCAAAUCAAGCUCCAGAUAAUUUGAAAGGAGUUCUCGAUUAUUUGGAUCUGAGGAGAAAAGAAAGCUCCAAUAGAGGCUAAUAGGUUGAAGGCAUUGCUAAGAGCUGUUUCUCUACUGCUCUUAUCAAGUCUACUUGAUUGUUUCUACAUAAAGCCCGAUAAAGAUUGGUUGUCUGCUUUUCUGCUUUGCUACUUCACAGACACUCAUCAAAUGUUAAUUUUGGGAAUUAGUAAAGAGAAAAUUACAUGUUGAUUGGUGUAAAUUCAGUUGACAUGGCUAACCAAGACAUAUUGGGAUGGUUCGGAAAGCAUUUCAAGUAAGUGGCUCUUAAUGUGAUUAUCUCAUGCUCUGCUUUGAAUAGGUUCUAAAUGUAUAAUAAGUUAUUACAAUGUGCCUUUGCUGUUAGUAAUUUAGCACAUUUACUAUUUCGCACAUACAAUUCAUCUUGGCUAUGGUAUGGUGAGUAUAUUCUUACUGAAAUUUGGAAGUGAGCUCUGUGAGUUGGGCUUUCAUAGCAUUGAGCAGAAGUGUUUGUCCUAAAUACUGUGAUUGUGAAUGGAUUUCUUUUAACCUUUCUACCCUGCGGUAAACCAUGUCUAAUGAAUUUCAUUAUUGGUGUAGUUGAACCAUCAGAUGAAUCUUUUUAUAUUACUUUACUGUUUGUUGUAGCUUAUCGCAAUCUUUUUAUUUACUACUAUUACUUAGAUAAAUCUUUGGGCAUCAUCUCUGAACUUUCAGCUUGAAUACAGGUAGUAAUUAUUCGACCAUGAUGAUUAUUGGUACAUGCUUUACAGGACCUCUGCGCUAAAAUAAAAUGACUCCUUAGUAGAAAGUCAAUUUACAAGUCAUAAUCAAACUAAACUUCAAUCAGAGAGAUAAACUGCUACUGUUAGAGAGGAGAUUGUCAAACAUUUGAUGCAACCUAAAUUCAUAAACUAUAUGCUAGGUACCGCUAGAGAAUUCACUAAUUCUCUUUAGUACUUGAUAACUGAACCACUGUUCCAAAAUACUUUAUUUAAGUGAGUGGUAUAAAUGCUGCAAAUUGAGCUAUCUUUCCAAACUAUGGCUCAUGUAUUUAAGUGAGUGGCAUAGAUGCUGUAAAUUUGAGCUUUCUUUCCAAAUAGCAAACACGAAUAAAAUAAAGUUUUAGAUA